rnacentral:lncRNA from 1 species
AAAGACCGAGACCCCCUGCUUGUGCAGGCGCCCAUAGUGUGCCAGUGGCGCCGGGGGUGGCAGGUAACGAGGCCAGUGUGGAGGGGAGAUGGAGAACCUGCCCCAGAAACCCGGUCAAGUGUGAGUGUAAUAUCAGGAUGAUUUGACUGCAAGCAACAGAGAAUCAAACAGAAAUGGCCUAGGGAGUCCCUUCGUGGCUCCCCAGUUAACAAUCUGACUGGAUCAUGAGGAUGCAGGUUCAAUCCCCGGCCUCUAUCAGUGGGUGAAGGAUCUAGUGCUACCAUGAGCUGUGCUGUGGUGUAGGCUGGCGGCCGCAGCUCCAGUUGGACCCCUAGCCCGGGAACUUCCAUAUGCUGUGGGUGCAGCCCUAAAAAGCAAAAACAAACAAAAAAAUGAAACAAAACAAAACAAAAAAUCCACAAAAAAAUCAGAAAUGGCCUAAACAAAGAAGAAAACGUGUUAUCCCAUACUACAAGAAGUUUGGGGAUUGAGUGAGUGGUUAAAUGCAUGAUUAGUUUAGAAACUUGACAGCACCACCCAGGACCCAUUUUCCCUAAGGCGCUGCUGCCCCCCACCCUGUAGGCUUAGCCACCGCAGCAAAGACACCCCCCUUCCCCAACCAGAGCCCUGCGUCAGGACUGGAAGGGGCCUCCUUCCCUCCAUCCCCUUCCAGAACCUCCGCAGAAGACUCCCCUUGACGUCUCAUUCCAUCCCAUACUGGUCACUUUGCAGGGGAACGGAUUUACCAUGGUGGCCAGAGACAAUUAAGUCGCCCCCAUCUCUGGAGAACACUUGACCACUCAGUACCCAGCAACUCGGGUACUCCUGGCAAGAAAGAGACAGGUGAUACCCACUGGGUCCUGUCCACAGCGCCUGCCCCCAGCAACCUGUCUACCUGGAAAACUGAGGGGGUGCCACGCGGGUCUGUGUCUUCUCUGUAGUUUGCCCGAGUCUUUCCCAUUAGGUAAGUGUCGCCCUUUUCCCUCUUUGCGGCUUUCCUCCUUGGCACGUCACCCAGGUUUUGUUCAGCCACAAGGGGCGAUAGGCUGAAAGAGGAAUCUCCAGGCCUAGGUGAUGGGCCAGCCGUGGUGAUCCUCACCCGUUUGCCUGGGCACCGUUUGGGAAACGUCCCCCUGCUCACCACGGAGAUGAAAGACCAGGUCCCUGGAGGGGCUUCGCGGAAGGAUUUUUCUCCCCAGUAAAGCGGCAGACAAGCCAAGGGUCCGCCGCCCUACGCGCCGUCUGCCUUUGAGCCGCCGCCAGCUCACAUCCUUGAGCAGAAACGUUGCAGGGAGGCAGAAAGCGCCGAGUCUCAUGGAUCGUGCUGAGCGUUGCAUCCACCCAGGACUGCUUACCUUCAGACUUCUGCUCCGGUGGCAGAGCAGCAAACCCCUAUUGUGUAAGCCUUUGUAGAUGGCUGGUGCCACUUGCUGCUGAAAGUGACAGAUAAUCUUUCUAGGAAUAUAACCCCUAAAGCCCUUUAUGGUAACAGAUGCACUUAGAGAAUGUAGUUUUCUUUCUUUUUCUUACUUAAAAAAAAAAAAAAAAAAAA